UACAGAGGGUGCAAGCGUUAAUCGGAGUUACUGGGCGUAAAGGGCGCGUAGGCGGAUAUAUUUGUGUGAUGUGAAAGCCCCGAGCUUAACCUGGGAAGUGCAUCGCAAACUGUAUAUCUAGAGUAUAUGAGGGGGUGGCGGGAUUUCCGGUGUAGCGGUGAAAUGCGUAGAGAUCGGAAGGAACGUCAAUGGCGAAGGCAGCCACCUGGCAUAAUACUGACGCUGAGGCGCGAAAGCGUGGGGAGCGAACAGG
rnacentral:rRNA from 1 species